rnacentral:rRNA from 1 species
CAAUAGCGUAUAUUUAAGUUGUUGCAGUUAAAAAGCUCGUAGUUGGAUUUCGGAUGGGAUUUGCCGGUCCGUCGUUACGAUGUGCACUGGCCAGUCCUAUCUUGUUGUCGGGGACUAGCUCCUUGGAUUCACUUCCUGGGACUAGGAGCUGACGAGGUUACUUUGAGUAAAUUAGAGUGUUCAAAGCAAGCCUACGCUCUGAAUACAUUAGCAUGGAAUAACAUGAUAGGACUCUGGCUUAUCUUGUUGGUCUGUGAGACCAGAGUAAUGAUUAAGAGGGACAGUCGGGGACAUUCGUAUUUCAUUGUCAGAGGUGAAAUUCUUGGAUUUAUGAAAGACGAACUUCUGCGAAAGCAUUUGUCAAGGAUGUUUUCAUUA